rnacentral:rRNA from 1 species
UACGUAGGGGGCGAGCGUUGUCCGGAUUUAUUGGGCGUAAAGAGCUCGUAGGCGGUUUGGCAAGUCGGGUGUGAAAACUCCGGGCUCAACUCGGAGACGCCACUCGAUACUGCCAUGACUCGAGUCCGGUAGGGGAGGGCGGAAUUCCUGGUGUAGCGGUGAAAUGCGCAGAUAUCAGGAGGAACACCGGUGGCGAAGGCGGCACUCUGGGCCGGUACUGACGCUGAGGAGCGAAAGCGUGGGGAGCGAACAGG